UACAGAGGGGGCAAGCGUUGUUCGGAAUUACUGGGCGUAAAGGGCGCGUAGGCGGCCUGUUAAGUCGAGCGUGAAAUCCCCGGGCUCAACCCGGGAACUGCGUCCGAUACUGGGAGGCUUGAAUCCGGGAGAGGGAUGUGGAAUUCCAGGUGUAGCGGUGAAAUGCGUAGAUAUCUGGAGGAACACCGGUGGCGAAGGCGGCAUCCUGGACCGGUAUUGACGCUGAGGCGCGAAAGCUAGGGGAGCAAACGGG
rnacentral:rRNA from 1 species